CUCCUCCGCAGCCCACUCCUUCUCCCUUCCACAUCCACUGACCCUCACCCCCACGCUACAAAAAACGAUGGAGGGGAAUGGAGUUUCCCAUGACCGCUGAGGUGUGGAGAAAUCCAAGGAGGCCAUCAAGGUUCAAGCAAAUCGGAGCUACCCCACCAAGAAUCAGAUCCAUAAACACAACAACUUCUACCCAAAGCCUCCCCCACCAGAAACCCAGAUCUGAAAAUUCAGCAAUGCAAACCCAGAUUUGCGGCGAAGCCACAGUGCUGCAACGGCGAGGCUACUGUUCUUCAGCGGUGAGGCUACAGUGUUGCCGGUGGUAACAGAUGAAGUAAAGGAAAAAAAAAACUGGCAAGAAGUUAGGAGAAAGGGGUAGGAGAAAAGAUGGAAAACAAAGAGAUAAGAUGAAGGAUAAAUGUGGAGGAAAUGCUCAUUACAACCCAAAGUCCCAAAACAAUAAGCAAAAACGCAAAUUAAGUUUGAUUUCAGAAACAAAAUGGAGUUUGAUCACAAAGCAUUGAAGAAGCGGUGGUGUAGGAGCAAAUGGUGGUGUUGGGACGGUGGAGAUGAUGAGGGAGAAAGAUGGAAUUUUAUCAGAAAUAGAGGAUAUUUUUGUCUUAUUACUUUAAAAAUGAAACUGAAGCACCGUGUGUCAGUUUGAAACUGACACACGGUA
rnacentral:lncRNA from 1 species